rnacentral:lncRNA from 7 species
GGACAUCUCUUUCUGGAGAUGCCUGAUUAGCUGAGGCCUUCUGAAGCAUUACAGAGGUGCAAAGUUACUGGACAGCUUCCAAGAGGGGUACAGCUAAAUGCGUAACUUACAAUUAAACCUCUCUGUCUGAAAAACAUGAUCAAGAGUGCUCAAGGAGGCUGAUGAAGUCAACAGCACGACAGAAAAAGCAAGUGGGGAAACAAUUACUGUUUCUCAUGACACCGGAAUGAUGGGCUAUCACGUGAAAUAGUUGUGGCAAGAGGAAGUAAAUGCACAGCUAAACCACAGAACUACACCUGGUGUGGAAGGUUGGGACCCAAGUAAGUGGGAGAGAAACUUAGCAAAGAAAAAUCCAGGAGCACAAAGAAAAUAGGAGCAGUUCAGGAGCCUCCGAGACACGGAUUUCAGUAGGUAAAAUCAGCAUCUGCUGAGUGGUGACCAUUUAACAUUCAACCUGCUGCCAAUCUACAUUCCACGGAGAGACCUGCAGGAGAGACAUGGAGCUGUGCCACUUCUAAUAACUGUGUGACUGGCACCAUGUCAAUGCUUUAAUGUAGAAAGCUACCCUCUGUCACUAAGCAGAUCUUUCCUUUCUUUUGGCUAAUGGAUUUCACACCCACUGGCAACAGUGUCAAGACUGAAGGGGUAUAAGCCUGCAGUCUUCUGAGACCUCCUUGGCAAAGCUGACUACAGAAAUACUGAGACAGGGACUGGGGGCUGUAAGGAAAGAAGGCAACUAUUGUGGGUAAUAAUUCUGCACUCAUUACUCAUUGCUUUGCCUUUCAUCUUUGUUUAGUUUCUUCAUCCAUUUGCCACUGCGCCUUCCCACUGCAGCAAUGGUCAGGUCAGCAGAACCUGCAACGUUUGCUUGCUGAGAGCGUAACUAUGCCAAACCUCUGCAGCAAUCCGCAGAUCCAGGAGAGGGGCCUUGUGCCUUUAUUAGCCAAGCUUUCAGCAUAUUUAGGGGAAAAUUUAUACUGGGACAUUAAACAAAAGAGCUCAUGGCUCAGAUGUUUUUGAUGAGGUUCAGAGAAUGGUCCUACCAGUGGAGUAUUUUGAAGGCUGGCAUCUCAGCUACGAGUGUGUUUGCACGGACGGGCUUGCAGCAAAGCCAGUGGGCUGCAUGGGCAUGCACACUUUCCAUAGGGAGUG